UUGACAAAUAGCUGUUUGAUCAACAGUUUUAUAAGAGUGGAGAUUUAAUUUCAGUCUUGGUUUCAAUCAAAUAUUACAUAAUAUAUUGAGGACGAAAAGGAAAAUACCAUGUAGGAAACUGACUGCAUUUUCCGGAUGCAGUUACUAUAACCAUGACAUCUCGUUUGAAAUUUCGGUGCCUUAUUUAUACACCCUACAACUGGAAAUUGACAGUACGGUUCGACGGGAAUUGAUGAUUACUUACGUCUUUUAUAAGUUAUUUUGGAACGUUAAGCGUGCACCAAUUGAUCAAUCUUUUUUUGUCGAGAGAAUCGCAUUCGUAUCUGUUUAGGAAAUGAUAAAUAUUUGUGAAUUAUUAUAAACAUAAUAACACUGCUGAAAAUAUGAGACGGUAGAAAAGAAGACAAGGGAAACGAAAGGGACAUUCAACCCCUGAAGUAAAAAAAGAACUAACAACGCCAUGGAAAAAAAAAGAAAAAGGAAAAAAAAUAUAUAUAACAGUAUACAAAACACAACAUAGAAAACUAAAAACUGAGAAACACAAGACUCGGGUUCGAUGAUAACGUUAAAAUAAAACGUCACUACAGGCACGAAGAUGGCAAACGAGUUUUGAAAUAUAAGAAGGUGUAAAAGGACUUUCAACAUUGGAAAAAAAGAAUACUAUCAACAAAGGCCGAAAAGAUGUCAGCAGUGUGACUUUCUACCAAAUGUACAAAUUUCCAAUGAGGUCACAAUAAAUCGGACGAUUAAUGUAAAUACAUUUACAUUUAUGUGUACAUCAGACAGUCCUUUCAUGGGAUGUACCGUAGAGUUUCUGGUUAAUAGAUCAACGAUAGACGAUUUAAGGAAUGCAAACAGCACAUGUUAUCACAAAAAUGGUGUGUGUAGACCUGACAUAUGUAGAUGUGCAGCCAAUUGCAAAAGUUUUACCUUGAGUGUCAUAACAUCAACAAACAUGACAAACCAUAUUUUUGGAUGCGGUGGAAAGAUUGAAAAUAGAUCGGUCAACGCUUUCUACAGAGUUAACGCCUCCGUUAUGUUUGAUGGAGAAUAUUUCCACCACCAAAAGACAAUAUAUGAUUUGAUUACUGAUGAGACAAUGUCCAACAAAUCUUAUCAAGACCCAAAGUCUCACAUUUUUGCUGUUAUAGUUUUGAGCUCAGUAUUUUGCGGAAUAAUGUGUUUCUUAUGAGUGUAACAGAUCAUUGUUGGUAUCAAAAAGAUAUUUUCCUGGUCAACAUAGCUGAUAGUUUUGAAAAAAAAUCUGAAGCUUCUGGAAUACCUGUGAUCAAUCAUGUGUGUCGAACUGCUCAACAUUGAUUUUUUAUGUCUAAUUUUAAUGCAUUCUUCUUUAAUAUGUCCAUUGUAAUUUUUAAAUUGUAGUAUUUGUUGUAUUUUAUAGGUUGUGAUUUAGUAAAAUAAAAAAAAACCAAAAGGAAUGAUACAUGUAGCUAUGUUUAACAACAUUACGAGAACUGUCUUUUUCAAAUUUCUUUCGUAGAUAGUUAGAACUCAUAAGAAAUGAAUAUCAUAUACCAAAACAAUUGAAUGGUAUCAAAUCCGAUGUGGUUCACUGGACAAUGUUACUUGCACAUAUAAAUAUGAUAGUAUGACUGCAGCAGUAUUUAUUUUCAGCUUAUGGAAUUCAUUGCUUUAGACAAUUAAUAUUUAGUUUGUUUUUCAAAAGAAACUAUCAAAUACCUUACAUUUUACAUUUAUGUUCGGCAAGUUGCGUUGCAAGUAGGAAUUGUAUUGGUAUGUUUUUAUGUUGAUAACUAUAUGCAGAACAUUACCACAAAUUUCUUUAUAAAUUUACUCAAUGCUUUAAUAGAUACAAAAAAUAUUGUUUCGAUUGUAAGCUGUAGAAAACUUAUUACAAACGAUAUAACGCAUCCAUAACUUUACGGUGAUAUUGUCCAUAGGGCCCUUUAAUGUAGAUGCGAUCCAUGUAAACUUAUUUAUCCUGAUGUAGAGAAUUUCUCGCAAUUUGAUUGGCUGAUAUUUUCCUAAUAAAUUUCAGUACAAUUUUUUAUUACGUCAGUUGGAAUUUUCUCCCUUAUACCAUUGACCUAAUAAAAAUAGUUGCUUUAUAGUCCUAA